rnacentral:rRNA from 1 species
AUGAACGCUGGCGGCGUGCCUAAUACAUGCAAGUCGAGCGAACGGACGAGAAGCUUGCUUCUCUGAUGUUAGCGGCGGACGGGUGAGUAACACGUGGAUAACCUACCUAUAAGACUGGGAUAACUUCGGGAAACCGGAGCUAAUACCGGAUAAUAUUUUGAACCGCAUGGUUCAAAAUUGAAAGCCGGUCUUGCUGUCACUUAUAGAUGGAUCCGCGCUGCAUUAGCUAGUUGGUAAGGUAACGGCUUACCAAGGCAACGAUGCAUAGCCGACCUGAGAGGGUGAUCGGCCACACUGGAACUGAGACACGGUCCAGACUCCUACGGGAGGCAGCAGUAGGGAAUCUUCCGCAAUGGGCGAAAGCCUGACGGAGCAACGCCGCGUGAGUGAUGAAGGUCUUCGGAUCGUAAAACUCUGUUAUUAGGGAAGAACAUAUGUGUAAGUAACUGUGCACAUCUUGACGGUACCUAAUCAGAAAGCCACGGCUAACUACGU